rnacentral:misc_RNA from 1 species
GAUGAAGAACGCAGCGAAAUGCGAUAAGUAAUGUGAAUUGCAGAAUUCAGUGAAUCAUCGAAUCUUUGAACGCACCUUGCACCCUUUGGUAUUCCGAAGGGUAUGCUCGUUUGAGUGUCAUUGUACUCUCACACUUCUAAUUCCUUUCGGGAUUGGGAGCGGUGGACUUGGGUGUUGCUGCUUUAGUUGUGGCUCACCUCAAAUAAGUUAGUGCAACUCUUGGUUGGACAUAGUACGGCGUGAUAAGUGUCUUCUCCCGCGCCUCUGUAAGGAGGGUGGCCGAUCGGGAGCUCUGUGCUUCAAACCGUCUUCCGACAAUCUUUGACAACUUGACCUCAAAUCGAGUAGGACUACCCGCUGAACUUAAGCAUAUCAAUAAGCGGAGGA